GAUGAACGCUGGCGGCGUGCCUAAUACAUGCAAGUCGAGCGAACGGACGAGAAGCUUGCUUUUCUGAUGUUAGCGGCGGACGGGUGAGUAACACGUGGAUAACCUACCUAUAAGACUGGGAUAACUUCGGGAAACCGGAGCUAAUACCGGAUAAUAUUUUGAACCGCAUGGUUCAAAAGUGAAAGACGGUCUUGCUGUCACUUAUAGAUGGAUCCGCGCUGCAUUAGCUAGUUGGUAAGGUAACGGCUUACCAAGGCAACGAUGCAUAGCCGACCUGAGAGGGUGAUCGGCCACACUGGAACUGAGACACGGUCCAGACUCCUACGGGAGGCAGCAGUAGGGAAUCUUCCGCAAGGGGCGAAAGCCUGACGGAGCAACGCCGCGUGAGUGAUGAAGGUCUUCGGAUCGUAAAACUCUGUUAUUAGGGAAGAACAUAUGUGUAAGUAACUGUGCACAUCUUGACGGUACCUAAUCAGAAAGCCACGGCUAACUACGU
rnacentral:rRNA from 1 species